rnacentral:rRNA from 1 species
GAUGAACGCUAGCGAUAGGCUUAACACAUGCCAGUCGAGGGGCAGCAUGGUCUUAGCUUGCUAAGACUGAUGGCGACCGGCGCACGGGUGCGUAACGCGUAUGCAACUUGCCUCACAGAGGGGGAUAACCCGUCGAAAGACGGACUAAUACCGCGUACACUUGGGAUAGGGCAUCCUGACCCAAGGAAAUGAAAUUCGCUGUGAGAUAGGCAUGCGUCCCAUUAGCUAGUUGGUGAGGUAACGGCUCACCAAGGCGACGAUGGGUAGGGGAACUGAGAGGUUGAACCCCCACACUGGUACUGAGACACGGACCAGACUCCUACGGGAGGCAGCAGUGAGGAAUAUUGGUCAAUGGGCGAGAGCCUGAACCAGCCAAGUCGCGUGAAGGAUGACUGUCUUAUGGAUUGUAAACUUCUUUUAUACAGGAAUAACAAGAGCCACGUGUGGCUCCCUGCAUGUACCGUAUGAAUAAGCAUCGGCUAACUCCGUG